UGGCGUGUCUGAAGGGAAGGGCCAGGGCUGUCUCUGCCUGAAGCCGAGAUAAAGUGAGCCCUGAGUGACCUUCCCCGCCACGUGGCACCUGGGGCAGGGCCGGGGCACCCGGGCUCUGAUGUUCCAAGAUGUGGCUUCAUAGUUGGCGCAGUUGCCCAAACCACCCAAGCCUCGGCUUCCUAGUCUGUAAAACGGGGACGCUAACUCACCCAGCCGGGCUGGGAUGACCUGGGCCAUGGCCCAGGCUGGCCCGGCAAGGGCCUCUCCCGACUUCGCCUUCGGCGUGUGGAGUUGCCACAGACUUCCCCAGCCAGAGGCCCUGACAAAUGAGUUCCUGAGUCUAGGAGACUGGGCCCAGAGGUCAGAAGCAAGGCACCCCAGCUCAACGUGAACCACCCGGCUGCACCCUGCCUCUGCCUGGACGUCUGCCAGCACCGCAGCCAACACCCACCUGCUCUGGCGCCGCCGUCAGACCCAGUCACUGAGCUCAUGAGCUCGGAGCCAGAGCGGCAGCCCCGCCCUGAACCCGGCCACCUCCACCCGGCCGUCCCCCUGCCCCCAGGCGGGGUCACCGAUCCAGCACGCAGAAAUGCAGGACAGCGUCAGACUUGAGUUUCAGAUGAAGAAGGAAUACGUUUUUAGCUAAGUGUGUCCCCUAAGUUAGGACAUAUUUGUACUAAAAAAUGUGAUUUGUUGUCUACCUGAAAUUCAACUCAAA